GCUUUAGGGGACUGGUAUCCAAUAGGUUAGACUCAAAAAAUAGCCCAAACAACUAGUAUCGGAAAACAGAAGCAUGAAAAGAUAUUAAGUGACUCUAUGAAUGUUUGAUUUGGGUGCUCCGAGAGACAAAUAAUUCCAUCUGGGCCAUCUGGGCUUUUUGUUCAAAGCUCAGAAAUAACACUAAUACUAAUUAAUGUCCUAGAUGAUGAAGCUGUUUGGAUUAAGCCCAUCACACGUGCUCCUCCUGCAAAUGUAUAUUCACAUUUGCAUGGUAUUUGCGUGCAGAACAUGAUUUUAUUUACUGUUUCCUAGUAACCCUUUAUUGGCUAAUGAUGCGAUGUCUUUGUUUUGCCUUCCUUUUCCAGCUGUGGGGCUUCCUCUUCCAUUUCCCUCCCCUCACAUGGAUUCUUUUCCAGGAAAUGCUGUUCCACAGAGCCCAGAGCGACAUCAAAGUGUGGAGUCUCCAGGGAGAGGGGAAGGUUACGACCCACAACUCUGUCUUUUGGGGGAUGUCAUUUACCCACCUCAAUUUAAGCCACUUUAGGGCUGAAGUGCCUCCAACCUUCCUGAGAUACGGGGCAACGACGGCAUUUCAUUAGGCCACCUACAAAGUGAAAUAUAAAGACCAUGAAGCUCCCACAAGAUACUGCGGUGUGUGCUGUACAAAAGUUUAUUAGCUACACCGGGAUAUGAUAAAAACAUUCUCCUCCCAGUUUUGGAGGGAAAUUGGGUAUUGGCUUGUGAAUCCCCCGCCGAGGUGCAAAGAACUACAUCAUCCGUUUCUAAGCAGCUGAGACAGCAAAAUCCAGAAGGUAAUUUAGAGUAUUGCAGCAGAAGUCUUCAACAGAGUUUAAUUAAAGUGUUCUGGUGAUCUGAAGAUAUCCAUAACCCAGCGCUAAAAUUAAAGAAGUCCCCGUCCACAGAAUUUGUUCUCAGGCUCCCGAUGCCAGUUGGCGCCGUUGUGCGUAAAUACAUAUCACCUGUGUAAAUCUCCAGUUAAUGGCCAAAAUACAGCAUGGUUGUUCAACCACCUCCAAGGAAGCGAUGCAACGCCAAGAUAGGAGGCACCUGGUCCCAGCUGGUUGAUUCAGAUCACAGGAGUGAGGCGUUCUCUGCCUAAGAUUUCUGUGCGCUUGAUGGAGAGAAUGAGGACAAGAGAGAAGCUUCACGGGGAACAAAAUUACAGAACUUCAGCUGAAAAGCAUUGGUCCAAGUUUUGGCAUGAAGACAUUUCUCUGGGACAUGUUCACUACGUGGGCUGAAAAUUAUCUUGGGUUAAACUGGUAAAAGGCAGCCUCUGCUUUAAAAUCCCUCCCAAAUAUCCUGAUUCUCAAGGCAAUUUAUUGCUGGGAGUCAUGCUGAAAGGUGUUUACUGGCAGAGGGGAAUAAAAAAACAAAUAUAGAACAAGUGUGCUAAUAAAGGAAAUGUUAGAGAGACAAACUUUUAAGAGUUUCCUGUUCUUCCCCAGAGAUCUGGAAGAACAAGCUGUAACUCCGGCACCUGCCUUGUGCUCUGUGUUUCAUCUCGGCCAACCUGCCAUCUGUUGAGCCCUGACACAGAGAAAAAGCUGUUUUCAGGCCUGCAACCACGUGGAGAGGGCUGCUUAGCAUUUCCUCUUUCAAACAGAAUUUUUA